AGGAGGAACAGCCUCAGUGGCGGGGCAGCUCUGGAAACCUGGAUUCAGCUCCGGCAGGAACUCCGUCUGCAGGGCCUGGAGGCUCCGGGCGGGG
rfam:Canis lupus familiaris chromosome 11, whole genome shotgun sequence.